GGCAGCAGCCGCGGUAACACCGGCAGCUCUAGUGGUAGCUGUUUUAUUGGGCCUAAAGCGUUCGUAGCCGGUUGAUAAGUCACUGGUGAAAUCCUGUAGCUUAACUGUGGGAAUUGCUGGUGAUACUGUUGAACUUGAGGUCGGGAGAGGUUAGCGGUACUCCCAGGGUAGAGGUGAAAUUCUGUAAUCCUGGGAGGACCACCAGUGGCGAAGGCGGCUAACUGGAACGAACCUGACGGUGAGGGACGAAAGCUAGGGGCGCGAACCGGAUUAGAUACCCGGGUAGUCCUAGCCGUAAACGAUGCGGACUUGGUGUUGGGAUGGCUUUGAGCCGCUCCGGUGCCGAAGGGAAGCUGUUAAGUCCGCCGCCUGGGAAGUACGGUCGCAAGACUGAACUUAAAGGAAUUGGCGGGGGAGCACCACAACGCGUGGAGCCUGCGGUUUAAUUGGAUUCAACGCCGGACAUCUCACCAGGAGCGACAGCUGUAUGAUUACCAGGCUGAUGACCUUGUUUGACUAGCUGAGAAGUGGUGCAUGG
rnacentral:rRNA from 1 species